GCUUUGUAAGUCAGAAGUGAAAGCCCUGGGCUCAACCCGGGAAGUGCUUUUGAUACUGCGAAGCUUGAAUGUGGUAGAGGAUAGUAGAAUCCAGGUGUAGUGGUGAAAUACGUAGAUAUCUGGAGGAAUACCAGUGGCGAAGGCGGCUAUCUGGACCAACAUUGACACUGAGGCCCGAGAGCGUGGGGAUCAAACAGGAUUAGAUACCCUGGUAGUCCACGCCGUAAACGAUGGAUACUUGUUGUUGGUGGUAUUGACCCCAUCAGUGACGAAGCAAACGCGUUAAGUAUCCCGCCUGGGGAGUACGGUCGCAAGAUUAAAACUCAAAGAAAUUGACGGGGGCCCGCACAAGCGGUGGAGCAUGUGGUUUAAUUCGAUGCAACGCGAAGAACCUUACCUGGGUUUGACAUCUACUGGAAGACUCUCAGAAAUGAGGUCGCCUUCGGGCCGGUAGACAGGUGCUGCAUGGCUGUCGUCAGCUCGUGUCGUGAGAUGUUGGGUUAAGUCCCGCAACGAGCGCAACCCUCGUGUUUAGUUGCCAGCAUUCAGUUGGGCACUCUAAACAGACUGCCGACGUUAAGUCGGAGGAAGGUGGGGAUGACGUCAAGUCCUCAUGGCCCUUAUGGGUAGGGCUUCACACGUAAUACAAUGGUCGGUACAGAGGGCUGCCAACCCGCAAGGGGGAGCUAAUCCCAGAAAGCCGAUCGUAGUCCGGAUUGUAGUCUGCAACUCGACUGCAUGAAGCCGGAAUCGCUAGUAAUCGCGGAUCAGCAUG
rnacentral:rRNA from 1 species